rnacentral:ribozyme from 1 species
UUUUGAAAAUGGUCUGUGAAUCGGUCGGUAGGAUCCGAGGCUAAACAGACUCUCCUACCCAACUCCUAUUCUGGUAUGUCCAAGCCCUACAGACCGAGUACAUGUAGCCCCGUUUAUCCGGGCCUGGGUAAACGGGUUCAAUCCCACCCCCCUGAGAGGACGUGGCUGCAUGGAAAGGCAGAAGGGG